rnacentral:rRNA from 1 species
UGCAGUCGAACGAUGACUUCUGUGCUUGCACAGAAUGAUUAGUGGCGAACGGGUGAGUAACACGUGAGUAACCUGCCCUUGACUUCGGGAUAAGCCUGGGAAACCGGGUCUAAUACCGGAUACGACCUCCUGGCGCAUGCCAUGGGGGUGGAAAGCUUUAUUGCGGUUUUGGAUGGACUCGCGGCCUAUCAGCUUGUUGGUUGGGGUAAUGGCCCACCAAGGCGACGACGGGUAGCCGGCCUGAGAGGGUGACCGGCCACACUGGGACUGAGACACGGCCCAGACUCCUACGGGAGGCAGCAGUGGGGAAUAUUGCACAAUGGGCGAAAGCCUGAUGCAGCGACGCCGCGUGAGGGAUGACGGCCUUCGGGUUGUAAACCUCUUUCAGCAGGGAAGAAGCGAAAGUGACGGUACCUGCAGAAGAAGCGCCGGGCUAACUACGUGCCAGCAGCCGCGGUAAUACGUAGGGCGCAAGCGUUAUCCGGAAUUAUUGGGCGUAAAGAGCUCGUAGGCGGUUUGUCGCGUCUGCCGUGAAAGUCCGGGGCUCAACUCCGGAUCUGCGGUGGGUACGGGCAGACUAGAGUGAUGUAGGGGAGACUGGAAUUCCUGGUGUAGCGGUGAAAUGCGCAGAUAUCAGGAGGAACACCGAUGGCGAAGGCAGGUCUCUGGGCAUUAACUGACGCUGAGGAGCGAAAGCAUGGGGAGCGAACAGGAUUAGAUACCCUGGUAGUCCAUGCCGUAAACGUUGGGCACUAGGUGUGGGGGACAUUCCACGUUUUCCGCGCCGUAGCUAACGCAUUAAGUGCCCCGCCUGGGGAGUACGGCCGCAAGGCUAAAACUCAAAGGAAUUGACGGGGGCCCGCACAAGCGGCGGAGCAUGCGGAUUAAUUCGAUGCAACGCGAAGAACCUUACCAAGGCUUGACAUGAACCGGUAAUACCUGGAGACAGGUGCCCCGCUUGCGGUCGGUUUACAGGUGGUGCAUGGUUGUCGUCAGCUCGUGUCGUGAGAUGUUGGGUUAAGUCCCGCAACGAGCGCAACCCUCGUUCUAUGUUGCCAGCACGUGAUGGUGGGGACUCAUAGGAGACUGCCGGGGUCAACUCGGAGGAAGGUGGGGACGACGUCAAAUCAUCAUGCCCCUUAUGUCUUGGGCUUCACGCAUGCUACAAUGGCCGGUACAAAGGGUUGCGAUACUGUGAGGUGGAGCUAAUCCCAAAAAGCCGGUCUCAGUUCGGAUUGGGGUCUGCAACUCGACCCCAUGAAGUCGGAGUCGCUAGUAAUCGCAGAUCAGCAACGCUGCGGUGAAUACGUUCCCGGGCCUUGUACACACCGCCCGUCAAGUCACGAAAGUUGGUAACACCCGAAGCCGGUGGCCUAACCCC